rnacentral:rRNA from 1 species
AUGAACGCUGGCGGCGUGCCUAAUACAUGCAAGUCGAGCGAACAGAUGAGGAGCUUGCUCCUCUGACGUUAGCGGCGGACGGGUGAGUAACACGUGGAUAACCUACCUAUAAGACUGGGAUAACUUCGGGAAACCGGAGCUAAUACCGGAUAAUAUAUUGAACCGCAUGGUUCAAUAGUGAAAGACGGUUUUGCUGUCACCUAUAGAUGGAUCCGCGCCGCAUUAGCUAGUUGGUAAGGUAACGGCUUACCAAGGCAACGAUGCGUAGCCGACCUGAGAGGGUGAUCGGCCACACUGGAACUGAGACACGGUCCAGACUCCUACGGGAGGCAGCAGUAGGGAAUCUUCCGCAAUGGGCGAAAGCCUGACGGAGCAACGCCGCGUGAGUGAUGAAGGUCUUCGGAUCGUAAAACUCUGUUAUUAGGGAAGAACAAAUGUGUAAGUAACUAUGCACGUCUUGACGGUACCUAAUCAGAAAGCCACGGCUAACUACGUG